rnacentral:rRNA from 1 species
AGAGUUUGAUCAUGGCUCAGGAUGAACGCUAGCGGCAGGCCUAACACAUGCAAGUCGAACGGUAAGGCCCAGCUUGCUGGGUACACGAGUGGCGCACGGGUGAGUAACGCGUAUGCAACCUGCCUCGAACAGGGGGAUAGCCCCGAGAAAUUGGGAUUAAUACCCCAUAACGCAUCGGAGCCGCAUGGCUCUGUUGCUAAAGUCCCGGCGGUUCGAGAUGGGCAUGCGUGGCAUUAGCUAGUUGGUGGGGUAACGGCUCACCAAGGCGUCGAUGCCUAGGGGUUCUGAGAGGACAGCCCCCCACACUGGUACUGAGACACGGACCAGACUCCUACGGGAGGCAGCAGUGAGGAAUAUUGGUCAAUGGGUGAGAGCCUGAACCAGCCAUGCCGCGUGCAGGAUUGACGGCCCUAUGGGUUGUAAACUGCUUUUCCUGGGGAAGAACACCCCCGACGUGUCGGGGAUUGACGGUACCCGGGGAAUAAGCACCGGCUAACUCCGUGCCAGCAGCCGCGGUAAUACGGAGGGUGCAAGCGUUAUCCGGAUUUAUUGGGUUUAAAGGGUGCGUAGGCGGGCUGCCNAGUCAGUGGUGAAAUCCCGCAGCUCAACUG